ensembl:lincRNA
AUGCUGUGCUUGGGGCUUUUAAAGUCUGCAAUCACAACCUCAGGGCCAAAUCUUUGAGGUCACACUUUAUUCACAGCCUUUUUCAUUUAACCCAAAUCCUCAGCCGUUGGCCUCUUGUAUGAAGAGGGAGAUGACCUGCCCCACCCUUCAACAUUUACCCGAAAGGGACUUACAUCUAGUGAAUCCUAAUUUUUUCAGCCACGGUUGUUUCUUUGGUGUCAUUUUUUUUUUUUUAACAUCAAAAGGGAAAAGGAGAAAAAUCCAAAGAGACCACCCCUAAGUCUGAAAUCCUUUUAAACCUCACACAAAGCCAAACCCGACAGACCUCCACAGAAUAAGCUCACCAACAGGGCAGCGCAGGACUUAGCUGCCAGAUCCCGUGGGCUCCUUUGUGAGGCCAGCUCCUUCCACGGGGACAGUGGCGUACGGGGAGGGACUCCGACUUCCAGGUAUUUGGGUCUGCUACUCGCAGUGGGAGGGGCAAUUCUUUAAUCUUGGGGCCUGGCCCUCACUUUCAUGGCUCUGGUGCUUUUAUGAGAAGAGGACCGAAAGCAUCAUGAAUUGCAGCAAGGCUAGGCCAGGGGCACGGUCAUUUCUGUGCUCUGCUGUUUAAAAUUAGCAUCCUAACAAUUUAAGCUUUUUCCAAUAGAUCCAGGCAGGGAGGAUGAGACUGCUUCCUAAAAUUUUUAUGCUCUAAUCAAUCCUUAUGGUCCAUUCUAAUCAACUGGAAGGACAGAUUUCCAAUACAGGAAAGAGCCUCUGCCUAAGAAAUUUUUUUUUCCUGAAGAGUUUUGUGAUACUAGAAUGUUAAUCAUUGGUGCUAAGUGCUCAAAAACCUUAAAAACCAUUCCAAAGUGGAGUUUGGAGCAAUGGCGGUGUGUGACACACAUGAAUGGCGUGUGUGGACGUGUGCCUCCUGGGGGUACCCGGCGGGCCUUUCAGACCUCGUCUGCUCCCCCUUCUGCCCCUCACCCGCCAGCUCUCCCCAGGCCUCUUACUCUUAUUCCAAGAGGCCAAGGGGAUGCCUGUGUUGGGCUGUUUCUACUCCUGUCCCCGCUGUGGAAUGCUCCUUCCCCAGGCAGACGGGAGAUGCGUCCUCCCCUCUCCACUGUGCCUGUGGGGCUGCCCUGGACGUUUCUUCUUGUGGGAAACUUCCCUGCCUACCCAUGUCAGGGAGCUUCUCCUCAUCCCUCAUCCCAGCACCCCAUCACGCUUCCUGCACCGCCCUCUACGUUCAGCUGAUCAUUGUUACCAACUCGGAGAGGGAGGAUCGGCCUCCUGCUCCAGCCGGCUCUCCUGCCCUGCCCUGCUUGGGUGUGAGCAUCCCACCAGGGUUAAUCAGGAAGACAACAGAAUCCCUGCCUCAUGGAGCCAACAUCUGUCAGGCGAUCCAGGGCAACCCCGCCCAGCUCAGUGAUGAGGACUCAGCCCCACGUGACCCAGUCCCACUGCAGGCCAUCAGUCCAAUCCUGGGGACUCUUGAGAGUCAGCCAAGCACAUGGCCUGUGGAGGAUGCACAGACACACAAAGCACAGCUCUUGGCCUCCAGGAACUCUGGCUCUCUCUGCUUUCUGCUUGAUCCGUCCAGAUUGACACCCCAGCCCUCAUCCCGAGUCCCUGAG